GUGUCAGCCGCCGCGGUAAGACGAACCGAGCGAACGUUGUUCGGAAUCACUGGGCUUAAAGGGCGCGUAGGCGGGCUGUCAAGUCUGGGGUGAAAUCCCGCGGCUCAACCGUGGAACUGCCUCAGAUACUGACGGCCUCGAGGGAGAUAGGGGCGAGCGGAACUAAUGGUGGAGCGGUGAAAUGCGUUGAUAUCAUUAGGAACUCCGGUGGCGAAGGCGGCUCGCUGGAUCUUUUCUGACGCUGAGGCGCGAAAGCUAGGGGAGCAAACGGGAUUAGAAACCCCAGUAGUCC
rnacentral:rRNA from 1 species